rnacentral:rRNA from 1 species
AACGAACGUUAGCGGCGCGCCUAACACAUGCAAGUCGAGCGAGAAAGGGCUUCGGCCCCGGUACAGCGGCGCACGGGUGAGUAACACGUAGUAAUCUACCCCUGAAUGGUGGAUAACCCUCCGAAAGGAGGGCUAAUACAGCAUAAGACCACGGCUUCUUCGGAGGCUGAGGCCAAAGCGGGCCUCUUCUUGAAAGCUCGCGUUUAGGGAUGAGCCUGCGGCCCAUCAGCUAGUUGGCGGUGUAACGGACCACCAAGGCUAAGACGGGUAGCUGGUCUGAGAGGAUGAACAGCCACACUGGAACUGAGACACGGUCCAGACUCCUACGGGAGGCAGCAGUGGGAAUCUUGCGCAAUGGGCGAAAGCCUGACGCAGCGACGCCGCGUGAGUGAUGAAGGCCUUCGGGUUGUAAAGCUCUGUGGGGAGAGACGAAUAAGGGCCGGCUAAUACCCGGCUCGAUGACGGUAUCUCCUUAGCAAGCACCGGCUAACUCUGUGCCAGCAGCCGCGGUAA